rnacentral:lncRNA from 10 species
CGGAAGAGAAAGAGAGAGAGAGGACACAGGGAAACUUACAGCAAAAGUUUCGAUGUUUAUAGCUUUCUUGGGGAAGAAAACACAUGCACAGAUCCUGGUGUUAGGAAUAUUUUAAGCAUGUAUCUUCAAUAUUAUUCAUCCAGGACCGAAGUAAGUCCUGAUGCAGGAAAUGAGUGACUUUCACAGCUUUCUGAGCCCCUACUCAACCCAGGAAGUCCAGCUGGCACCUCCUCUGGAUCACAAGGUACUCACCGCUACCCUGCGUUCCUGCAUAGACUUCCAUCAGAGAGAACAUGUUAGGAAAGUUAAAUUGCAGUAAGCACAUCACAGCAAUGACGAGGACAGGUACUUUUCUGGGAAACACUGGAAGACAGCUGGAGAGGAUUCUGCUGCUGUGAAAGCACCUAAAGCCUCCUUGACUCAGCCUCACAUCCUAUCUUCAAGAAAACAUCAUAUGGUUAUUAUAUAAACCUCUUACGGGAUUUCUAAGGUUAAUUUCAAUAUAUAAAUGGCUACUCAACAGAAUCAAGGUAAUUAGAGUUUGCUUAUAUUCAAAAAGAGUUGCAAAAU